UACGGAGGGUGCAAGCGUUAUCCGGAUUCACUGGGUUUAAAGGGUGCGUAGGUGGGUCUGUAAGUCCGUGGUGAAAUCUCCGAGCUUAACUUGGAAACUGCCAUGGAUACUAUAGGUCUUGAAUACUGUGGAGGUCAGCGGAAUAUGUCAUGUAGCGGUGAAAUGCUUAGAUAUGACAUAGAACACCAAUAGCGAAGGCAGCUUGCUACACGGUAAUUGACACUCAGGCACGAAAGCGUGGGGAGCAAACAGG
rnacentral:rRNA from 1 species